GAUGAACGCUGGCGGCGUGCCUAAUACAUGCAAGUCGAGCGAACAGACGAGGAGCUUGCUCCUCUGACGUUAGCGGCGGACGGGUGAGUAACACGUGGAUAACCUACCUAUAAGACUGGGAUAACUUCGGGAAACCGGAGCUAAUACCGGAUAAUAUCUUGAACCGCAUGGUUCAAUAGUGAGAGACGGUUUUGCUGUCACUUAUAGAUGGAUCCGCGCCGCAUUAGCUUGUUGGUAAGGUAAAGGCUUACCAAGGCAACGAUGCGUAGCCGACCUGAGAGGCUGAUCGGCCACACGGGAACUUAGACACGGUCCAUACUCCUACGGGAGGCAGCAGUAGGGAAUCUUCCGCAAUGGUCGAAAGCUUUACGGAGCAACGCCGCGUGAGUUAUGAAGGUCUUCGGAUCGUAAAACUCUGUUAUUAGUUAAGAACAAAUGUGUAAGUAACUAUGCACGUAUUGACGGUACCUAAUCAGAAAGCCACGGCUAACUACGUG
rnacentral:rRNA from 1 species